rnacentral:rRNA from 1 species
GACGAACGCUGGCGGCGUGCCUAAUACAUGCAAGUAGGACGCAGUUGCGAACGGGUGAGUAACGCGUAGGUAACUGCCUAUUAGAGGGGGAUAACUAUUGGAAACGAUAGCUAAUAUCGCAUACUAGUAGAUGGACCUGCGUUGUAUUAGCUAGUAGGUAGGGUAAUGGCCUACCUAGGCGACGGUACAUAGCCGACCUGAGAGGAUGAUCGGCCACACUGGGACUGAGACACGGCCCAGACUCCUACGGGAGGCAGCAGUAGGGAAGCUUCGGCAAUGGGGGGAACCCUGAUCCAGCCAUGCCGCGUGUGUGAAGAAGGUCUUCGGAUUGUAAAGCUCUGUUGUUAAGGAAGCGGUACUUAACCAGAAAGGGACGGCUAACUACGUGCCAGCAGCCGCGGUAAUUC